GAUUAAUGCUGGCGGCAUGCCUAAUACAUGCAAGUUGAACGAAUAGUAGCAAUACUAUGAGUAGCGAACGGGUGAGUAACACGUACUUAAGAUACCAUAACGAUGGGGAUAACUAGUGGAAACAUUAGCUAAUACCGAAUAGGAUAAUUGAUCGCAUGACCAAUUAUUUAAAGGGGCUCCAAAGCCUUGCGUCAUGAUUCAAGUGCGGUGCAUUAGUUAGUUGGUGGGGUAAUGGCCUACCAAGACGAUGAUGCAUAGCCAAUCUGAGAGGAUGAAGGGCCACAUUGGGACUGAGACACGGCCCAAACUCCUACGGGAGGCAGCAGUAGGGAAUUUUCCACAAUGGGCGAAAGCCUGAUGGAGCAAUGCCGCGUGUUUGAUGAAGGCCUUUGGGUUGUAAAAAACUGUUAUAUGGGAAGAAAAAAGUGAAUAGGAAAUGAUUCACCAUUGACUGUACCAUAUUAGAAAGCCACGGCUAACUACGUGCCAGCCGCCGCGGUAACAC
rnacentral:rRNA from 1 species